rnacentral:rRNA from 1 species
UACGUAGGGUGCAAGCGUUGUCCGGAAUUAUUGGGCGUAAAGGGCGCGUAGGCGGCCACCGCAAGUCGGUUGUGAAAUCUCGUGGGCUUAACCCAGAAAGGUCAACCGAUACUGCGGGGCUAGAGUGCAGAAGGGGCAACUGGAAUUCUCGGUGUAGCGGUGAAAUGCGUAGAGUAUCGAGAGGAACACCUGCGGCGAAGGCGGGUUGCUGGGCUGACACUGACGCUGGAAGCGCGAAAGCUAGGGGGAGCGAACGGG